rnacentral:misc_RNA from 1 species
GAUGAAGAACGCAGCGAAAUGCGAUAAGUAGUGUGAAUUGCAGAAUUCAGUGAAUCAUCGAAUCUUUGAACGCACAUUGCGCCCUUUGGUAUUCCAAAGGGCAUGCCUGUUCGAGCGUCAUUUGUACCGUCAAGCUUUGCUUGGUGUUGGGCGUCUUGUCUCUAGCUUUGCUGGAGACUCGCCUUAAAGUAAUUGGCAGCCGGCCUACUGGUUUCGGAGCGCAGCACAAGUCGCACUCUCUAUCAGCAAAGGUCUAGCAUCCAUUAAGCCUUUUUUUCAACUUUUGACCUCGGAUCAGGUAGGGAUACCCGCUGAACUUAAGCAUAUCAAUAAGCGGAGGA